AGACGUAGGGGGCUAGCGUUGCCCGGAUUCACUGGGCGUAAAGCGCGCGUAGGCGGUUCGGCAAGUCGCCCGUGAAAGCCCCUGGCUCAACUGGGGGAGGUCGGGCGAUACUGCCGGGCUAGAGGGCGGCAGAGGGAGGUGGAACGGCCGGAGUAGCGGUGAAAUGCGUAGAUACCGGCCGGAAUCCCGAUGGCGAAGGCAACCUCCUGGGCCGUUCCUGACGCUGAGGCGCGAAAGCUGGGGGAGCGAACCGGAUUAGAUACCCUAGUAGUCC
rnacentral:rRNA from 1 species